CAUUGAGAUCUGUUGGGUCUAGAGGGUCAGGCCCUGCGGUGUGCCCCGUCGCCUCCCCCUCCGAAAGGCCGUAGUAAAGCUUCAGCAUCCCGUGAGCCUUCCGCCGACGCUCUGGAGCGUCCGCCUCGGAACCUUCUGGGGAGUCCCCAGGCCCGGACCCUAGGCCAGGACCCACAGAUGCCGCGGCCGCCAUAGCUCCAACCUCAACACAAGGGGACAGGGUUUCUCUGCUUAGCCCUGACUGUCCUGGAACUGGCCCUGUAGACCAACCUAGUGCGGACAUCUGCCUGUCUCUGCCUCCCGCGUGUUGGGACUAAAGGAGUGUGAUACCACUGUCACCAGCUCUACUGCCCAACUAAAAACCGUUCUGAAUAGUAUUAAAAUUAACUUGCCAUCUGUCCA